rnacentral:rRNA from 1 species
AGGGUUUGAUUAUGGCUCAGGAUGAACGCUGGCGGCGUGCUUAACACAUGCAAGUCGAACGAACCUUCGGGUUAGUGGCGGACGGGUGAGUAACGCGUGAGAAUCUGCCCUCAGGAGGGGGAUAACGGUUGGAAACGACCGCUAAUACCCCAUAUGCCGAUAGGUGAAAUGAAUUUCGCCUGAGGAUGAGCUCGCGUCUGAUUAGCUUGUUGGUGAGGUAAUGGCUCACCAAGGCUUCGAUCAGUAGCUGGUCUGAGAGGAUGAUCAGCCACACUGGGACUGAGGCACGGCCCAGACUCCUACGGGAGGCAGCAGUGGGGAAUUUUCCGCAAUGGGCGAAAGCCUGACGGAGCAACGCCGCGUGAGGGACGAAGGCCUCUGGGCUGUAAACCUCUUUUCUCAAGGAAGAAGAUAUGACGGUACUUGAGGAAUAAGCCACGGCUAAUUCCGUGCCAGCAGCCGCGGUAAUAC